rnacentral:rRNA from 1 species
AGAGUCUUCGGACUUUGAGACCGGCGCACGGGUGCGUAACGCGUAUGCAAUCUACCUUUUACAGAGGGAUAGCCCAGAGAAAUUUGGAUUAAUACCUCAUAGUAUAAUGACUCGGCAUCGAGAUAUUAUUAAAGUCACAACGGUAAAAGAUGAGCAUGCGUCCCAUUAGCUAGUUGGUAAGGUAACGGCUUACCAAGGCUACGAUGGGUAGGGGUCCUGAGAGGGAGAUCCCCCACACUGGUACUGAGACACGGACCAGACUCCUACGGGAGGCAGCAGUGAGGAAUAUUGGACAAUGGGCGCAAGCCUGAUCCAGCCAUGCCGCGUGCAGGAUGACGGUCCUAUGGAUUGUAAACUGCUUUUAUACGAGAAGAAACACUCCAACGUGUUGGAGCUUGACGGUAUCGUAAGAAUAAGGAUCGGCUAACUCCGUGCCAGCAGCCGCGGUAAUACGGAGGAUCCAAGCGUUAUCCGGAAUCAUUGGGUUUAAAGGGUCCGUAGGCGGUUUAAUAAGUCAGUGGUGAAAGCCCAUCGCUCAACGGUGGAACGGCCAUUGAUACUGUUAAACUUGAAUUAUUAGGAAGUAACUAGAAUAUGUAGUGUAGCGGUGAAAUGCUUAGAGAUUACAUGGAAUACCAAUUGCGAAGGCAGGUUACUACUAAUGGAUUGACGCUGAUGGACGAAAGCGUGGGUAGCGAACAGGAUUAGAUACCCUGGUAGUCCACGCCGUAAACGAUGGAUACUAGCUGUUGGAAGCAAUUUCAGUGGCUAAGCGAAAGUGAUAAGUAUCCCACCUGGGGAGUACGUUCGCAAGAAUGAAACUCAAAAGAAUUGACGGGGGCCCGCACAAGCG